GAUGAAGAACGUAGCGAAAUGCGAUAAGUAAUGUGAAUUGCAGAAUCCAGUGAAUCAUCGAAUCUUUGAACGCACAUUGCGCCCGCCAGCAUUCUGGCGGGCAUGCCUGUUCGAGCGUCAUUUCAACCCUCGACCUCCCUUUGGGGAAGUCGGCGUUGGGGACCGGCAGCACACCGCCGGCCCUGAAAUGGAGUGGCGGCCCGUCCGCGGCGACAUCUGCGUAGUAAACCAACUCGCACCGGAACCCCGACGUGGCCACGCCGUAAAACACCCAACUUCUGAACGUUGACCUCGAAUCAGGUAGGACUACCCGCUGAACUUAAGCAUAUCAAUAAGCGGAGGA
rnacentral:misc_RNA from 1 species